CUUCCCAUUCCGAACAGAGAAGUUAAGCCUGCCAGCGCCGAUGAUACUGCCAUACCCGGUGGAAAAGUAGGUCGUUGCCAAUC
rnacentral:rRNA from 1 species